CCUUCUCUCCUCCGCCGAUCUACGCCGAAUCGAACGGCCAGGGCUUUGAUGGAGGGUUUGGUGGGUCCGACGAUCCGAUUUUGCCGGCUCCGUCAGAGAUGCUGCUUGAGGGCGACUUCGCUCUCAGAGAAUGAAGGAGGUAGGGUCUCUAAAUCCUUUUCACCCAGCUGAUCGAUUAUUCCAUCCGGCUCUCUUCUUCACCGCAAGAAGUUGCCAGAAAAUGCAAACUUUAAAGGGAAGGGAUAUAUUCAAACCAAAAAAGAAAAGGGAAGCGAUACAUCCAUUCUUUUCCUUGCUACAGUAUGAAUUCGUUGGUCAUUAGCGAAGCUGCAUGGUGUGGGAUGCAGAUAAAUGAACUGCAAAUGGUUACACCUUGCAGCCUGAGAUAUUUCAUCAGGUAAUAAACGUGGUCCAACCAGUAGCUGAUAAAAUGUCAUUGUAUAUAUGCUUUUGUCGAUUUAUGCUACAAUAAUGAGGGAAUCUAGAGGAUCGAGGCCAGUCGAUCUGAGAUU